GAUGAACGUUGGCGGCGUGCCUAAUACAUGCAAGUCGAGCGAACAGACGAGGAGCUUACUCCUCUGACGUUAGCGGCGGACGGGUGGGUAACACGUGGAUAACCUACCUAUAAGACUGGGAUAACUUCGGGAAACCGGAGCUAAUACCGGAUAACAUGUUGAACCGCAUGGUUCAACAGUGAAAGACGGUCUUGCUGUCACUUAUAGAUGGAUCCGCGUCGCAUUAGCUAGUUGGUAAGGUAACGGCUUACCAAGGCAACGAUGCGUAGCCGACCUGAGAGGGUGAUCGGCCACACUGGAACUGAGACACGGUCCAGACUCCUACGGGAGGCAGCAGUAGGGAAUCUUCCGCAAUGGGCGAAAGCCUGACGGAGCAACGCCGCGUGAGUGGAGAAGGUCUUCGGAUCGUAAAACUCUGUUAUUAGGGAAGAACAAAUGUGCAAGUAACUAUGCACGUCUUGACGGUACCUAAUCAGAAAGCCACGGCAACUACGUGCCAGCAGCCGCGGUAAUACGUAGGUGGCAAGCGUUAUCCGGAAUUAUUGGGCGUAAAGCGCGCGUAGGCGGUUUUUUAAGUCUGAUGUGAAAGCCCACGGCUCAACCGUGGAGGGUCAUUGGAAACUGGAAAACUUGAGUGCAGAAGAGGAAAGUGGAAUUCCAUGUGUAGCGGUGAAAUGCGCAGAGAUAUGGAGGAACACCAGUGGCGAAGGCGACUUUCUGGUCUGUAACUGACGCUGAUGUGCGAAAGCGUGGGGAUCAAACAGGAUUAGAUACCCUGGUAGUCCACGCCGUAAACAAUGAGUGCUAAGUGUUAGGGGGUUUCCGCCCCUUAGUGCUGCAGCUAACGCAUUAAGCACUCCGCCUGGGGAGUACGACCGCAAGGUUGAAACUCAAAGGAAUUGACGGGGACCCGCACAAGCGGUGGAGCAUGUGGUUUAAUUCGAAGCAACGCGAAGAACCUUACCAAAUCUUGACAUCCUCUGACCCCUCUAGAGAUAGAGUUUUCCCCUUCGGGGGACAGAGUGACAGGUGGUGCAUGGUUGUCGUCAGCUCGUGUCGUGAGAUGUUGGGUUAAGUCCCGCAACGAGCGCAACCCUUAAGCUUAGUUGCCAUCAUUAAGUUGGGCACUCUAAGUUGACUGCCGGUGACAAACCGGAGGAAGGUGGGGAUGACGUCAAAUCAUCAUGCCCCUUAUGAUUUGGGCUACACACGUGCUACAAUGGACAAUACAAAGGGUAGCGAAACCGCGAGGUCAAGCAAAUCCCAUAAAGUUGUUCUCAGUUCGGAUUGUAGUCUGCAACUCGACUACAUGAAGCUGGAAUCGCUAGUAAUCGUAGAUCAGCAUGCUACGGUGAAUACGUUCCCGGGUCU
rnacentral:rRNA from 1 species